rnacentral:rRNA from 1 species
UAUACAAGGUGCUGCAUGGUUGUCGUCAGCUCGUGCCGUGAGGUGUCGGGUUAAGUCCCAUAACGAAGCGCAACCCUACUCAUUAGUUGCCAUCAGGUCAAGCUGGGGACUCUAAUGAAACUGCCUACGCAAGUAGUGAGGAAGGUGGGGAUGACGUCAAAUCAGCACGGCCCUUACGUCCAGGGCUACACACGUGCUACAAUGGCCGGUACAAAGGGCAGCUACCUGGUGACAGGAUGCUAAUCUCAAAAGCCGGUCUCAGUUCGGAUCGGAGUCUGCAACCCGACUCCGUGAAGCUGGAAUCGCUAGUAAUCGUGGAUCAGCAUGCCACGGUGAAUACGUUCCCGGGCCUU